rnacentral:lncRNA from 1 species
AUGGACUCUCAGUGCCUGAGAAUGGAGGGCCUCAAGGUGGGCACUAAGCAAUGGGCUGACAGCUGUCUGGACACAGGACUCUCCCUGUCAGCUCACAAGAGACCUGCACAGCUUCCCUGUACUCCCCAACCCUCUGCCGAGGCUGAGAAGUUAUUAGGAGUCCGUGGGCCCCAGUUCUCUUCAACCUUGUCCCAGCAAGAGGCUCCAGACCAGGAUGAGGACCCAGCUGACAGAGCCCUACCCAGAAUGAUUGGAGGCCUCUGCAAUAAACAGCUGCCUGGAAAAGAACACAGCACAGGUCUUGGUCACAUCUGCUGUGAUCAGGAAGGAGGUGACACGUGA